UACGAAGGGGGCUAGCGUUGUUCGGAUUCAUUGGGCGUAAAGGGUGCGUAGGUGGCGCCGUAAGUCAGGUGUGAAAUUUCGGAGCUUAACUCCGAAACUGCAUUUGAUACUGCGGUGCUUGAGGACUGGAGAGGAGACUGGAAUUUACGGUGUAGCAGUGAAAUGCGUAGAUAUCGUAAGGAAGACCAGUGGCGAAGGCGGGUCUCUGGGCCGAUAUUGACGCUGAGGAGCGAAAGCGUGGGGAGCAAACAGG
rnacentral:rRNA from 1 species